rnacentral:rRNA from 1 species
CACUGCCGAGAAAAGCCUCUAGAUAGAAAAUAGGUGCCCGUACCGCAAACCGACACAGGUAGUCAAGAUGAGAAUUCUAAGGUGAGCGAGCGAACUCUCGUUAAGGAACUCGGCAAAAUGACCCCGUAACUUCGGGAGAAGGGGUGCUCUUUAGGGUUAACGCCCAGAAGAGCCGCAGUGAAUAGGCCCAAGCGACUGUUUAUCAAAAACAC